rnacentral:rRNA from 1 species
UUUCCUACGGGAGGCAGCAGUGGGGAAUAUUGGACAAUGGGCGAAAGCCUGAUCCAGCCAUGCCGCGUGUGUGAAGAAGGUCUUCGGAUUGUAAAGCACUUUAAGUUGGGAGGAAGGGCAGUAAGUUAAUACCUUGCUGUUGACGUACCAACAGAAAAGCCCGUUUCCC